GACGAACCGAGCGAACGUUGUUCGGAAUCACUGGGCUUAAAGGGCGCGUAGGCGGGCUGCCAAGUCUGGGGUGAAAUCCCGCGGCUCAACCGUGGAACUGCCUCAGAUACUGGCGGCCUCGAGGGAGAUAGGGGCGAGCGGAACUAAUGGUGGAGCGGUGAAAUGCGUUGAUAUCAUUAGGAACUCCGGUGGCGAAGGCGGCUCGCUGGAUCUUUUCUGACGCUGAGGCGCGAAAGCUAGGGGAGCAAACGGGAUUAGAAACCCCAGUAGUCC
rnacentral:rRNA from 1 species